rnacentral:lncRNA from 1 species
CUAUAUAUCUACCUUAAUCUUCUUAAGGCAACUCUAUCGACUCUCUGUACCCUUAACCAGCUUUGUAAGCAACACUUUCAUCCUUUAAUUAGCAUCACGGUUCCUCGGUGGAACCUAUGCACCAUACUUUACCUUAUAAUCAUCAUUUCUCCUUCAGUUAAUAUCUCUUUCUUCUCUUAUCCCUAUAUAUUUCACCAUAAUAAUUCUAACC